GACGAACGCUGGCGGCGUGCCUAAUACAUGCAAGUCGAGCGAAGCGGCGGAUGGGUGAGUAACGCGUGGGUAACCUGGCCUACAGUCUGGGAUACUGUUUGGAAACACAUGCUAAUAACGGAUACUAAAGUAUGAACCGGCGAUACAUUAGCUAGUUGGUAAGGUAACGGCUUACAAAGGCGAGGAUGCAUAGCUGAGUUGAGAGACGGAUCGGCCACAUUGGGACUGAGACACGGCCCAAACUCCUACGGGAGGCAGCAGUAGGGAAUCUUCCACAAUGGGCGCAAGCCUGAUGCAGCCAUGCCGCGUGUAUGAAGAAGGCCUUCGGGUUGUAAAGUACUUUCAGCGAGGAGGCGUUACUCGCAGAAGAAGCACCGGCUAACUCCGUGCCAGCCGCCGCGGUAAUUC
rnacentral:rRNA from 1 species